AGCACCUACGGGUGUGAAGUCAUUGAUGCCAUGCUUCCAGGAAAAGCCUCUAAGCUUCAGAUUGUAAGGAAUCGUACCCCAAACCGACACAGGUGGUCGGGUAGAGAAUACCAAGGCGCUUGAGAGAACUCGGGUGAAGGAACUAGGCAAAAUGGUACCGUAACUUCGGGAGAAGGUACGCUCUUGAUGGUGAAGUCCCUCGCGGAUGGAGCUGAUGAGAGUCGCAGAUACCAGGUGGCUGCAACUGUUUAUUAAAAACACAGCACUGUGCAAAAUCGUAAGAUGACGUAUACGGUGUGACGCCUGCCCGGUGCCGGAAGGUUAAUUGAUGGGGUUAGCGUAAGCGAAGCUCUUGAUCGAAGCCCCGGUAAACGGCGGCCGUAACUAUAACGGUCCUAAGGUAGCGAAAUUCCUUGUCGGGUAAGUUCCGACCUGCACGAAUGGCGUAAUGAUGGCCACGCUGUCUCCACCCGAGACUCAGUGAAAUUGAAAUCGCUGUGAAGAUGCAGUGUACCCGCGGCUAGACGGAAAGACCCCGUGAACCUUUACUACAGCUUGGCACUGAACAUUGAACCUACAUGUGUAGGAUAGGUGGGAGGCUUUGAAGACGUGACGCUAGUUGCGUUGGAGCCGUCCUUGAAAUACCACCCUUGUAUGUUUGAUGUUCUAACUUAGCCCCGUUAUCCGGGGUGAGGACAGUGCCUGGUGGGUAGUUUGACUGGGGCGGUCUCCUCCCAAAGAGUAACGGAGGAGCACGAAGGUGGGCUAAUCACGGUUGGACAUCGUGAGGUUAGUGCAAUGGCAUAAGCCCGCUUAACUGCGAGAAUGACGGUUCGAGCAGGUGCGAAAGCAGGUCAUAGUGAUCCGGUGGUUCUGUAUGGAAGGGCCAUCGCUCAACGGAUAAAAGGUACUCCGGGGAUAACAGGCUGAUACCGCCCAAGAGUUCAUAUCGACGGCGGUGUUUGGCACCUCGAUGUCGGCUCAUCACAUCCUGGGGCUGAAGUCGGUCCCAAGGGUAUGGCUGUUCGCCAUUUAAAGUGGUACGCGAGCUGGGUUUAGAACGUCGUGAGACAGUUCGGUCCCUAUCUGCCGUGGGCGUUGGAAGAUUGAAGGGGGCUGCUCCUAGUACGAGAGGACCGGAGUGGACGAACCUCUGGUGUUCGGGUUGUGUCGCCAGACGCAUUGCCCGGUAGCUAAGUUCGGAAUCGAUAACCGCUGAAAGCAUCUAAGCGGGAAGCGAGCCCUGAGAUGAGUCUUCCCUGACAGUUUAACUGUCCUAAAGGGUUGUUCGAGACUAGAACGUUGAUAGGCAGGGUGUGUAAGCGUUGUGAGGCGUUGAGCUAACCUGUACUAAUUGCCCGUGAGGCUUAACCAU
rnacentral:rRNA from 1 species